ACUCAAUUUCAGUUGUUUGUCCAUACAGCAGCGCUGGUUGUUGCAGCAGAUUGUAGCAUUCGGCAUACGGCAUGAGCUAGCGGCUAUGUGGGUAUGUGGGUUUAUGGAUCUCUGGGCUUUCGGGAAUGAGGCAUGCGGCAUGCGGCAUGUGGCAUGUGGCGGGUUAAUCGCAUUAGACGAGCGCGUGUAUGGCUGCAGCCUUGAUAGUCAGACGGGGACAGUCGGGGCCGGACACCCCCGGAACGCUUUCGUACGUCACACGGGGGCGGUGAACUGUGCCGUUGAUGGAUGGUUCUCAGCUUUCUGUUCAUUCAAGUUCCUUUGCUUCCGAAGUGAGUGCGCGCCCAGCAUCCGGCCAAAGUCGAAGCUUUCCGGUGCUGGUAGCAUGGUCCAUGUUGGCGCCCUCUGUGAAACUUUGUUUUCUCUGGAAGCUGCGAAGCUACCAACAGCCUCGCACAGCUUCCGACUUCCAUUGAAAGCUCUCAGUGUUGACAGUCGACAGUUGACAGCGUUCUGAUUCCAUUUUAUUCCACAGGCUGCCGUUGCAACGGAUUUGGGUUUUGUUUUGAAUAUCAUUUAUUACUUAAAUAAACAUUUCAAUGCAAAUGCGCGAAUAAUCGAAUGAGGGUGAUUGGAAUCAGCUUAUACUAAUAUCGAACGAUAUUUUAUCCAUUGACACACGCACACUCUUGCCUUUAGCAGCUUUUGACAGCUGAGCAGAGCUUUAUUCAUUGACAAAAUCUGGACAAAGCCAGAAGCCCGCGAAGCUCCCGCAGUGGAAGCCUGGAAUGGCACUACCACUGGCACUGCCACUGGCUGUGGCAUUGCCUGGAUGCUCCUAAGCGUCUCCUGCUAGCCGCCAGCUGACAGGCGGCCGUGCGACCGUGGAAGCUUCCAGCGCUGUCGCCGUACUCAGCUGUAAGGCGGGUGGCGCGCAGCAUCAACAAAAGCGCAGCAGAGAAGAGCAGAAACAGAAGCAGAAGUACAAGUACAAGGAAGAGAAGGUGCACACGAAACACGAAAUGCGAAACGAACGGAAAUGAAACGAGCGAAGGCGUCGCUGGUCCGUUGGUCCGUUGGACCGUUGGCGGCUCGCUUCAGUCUCACGCAGCCAGCAGCCGACAGUAGAUGCCGACGAGGAUGCAGAGCCGAAGAGCUUGCGAGCGAAACCGAAACCGAAACGGAGACCGAAGCUCUGAUUGAGUGCCGUAUACCGUGUACCGUUAGCCGUUCCAUUGCCAAUUCGUGGUGUGGCGUUCCAUAUACUGCCGCGGGGCAGCACAGCAGAGCAGCAGCAGCGAACAAGAAGCAGCAGCGACAGGCGACAAGCGACAGACGAUAAACGAAUAACGGGAACGCGAAAGGCGAAAAGCGAGAAAGAAUAAAAGUCGAACUGAGUUCUGGCUUACGGUAAAACAAAAAAAAAACGAAGAAAAAAAGGCACAAGGAGAACGAGAGAAUCGAGCAGAAUUUUUGCUACAAAUUUUUGUUGUUAAAUCGAAUCAUAUCAAAAACUAAACCAAAAAACAGAAACCAGAAACAAAUUGUAAUAGAUAAAAUAUAUAUGUAGUAGAAACAUGUGACAAAUGCAAAAAUGGAAAAGGAAAACUGAUGCUGACCCCGACACCAACGUACAAAACCGCAAAAGCAAUGCCGAGAACAGCCGAGAGGAAAAUGCACUGGCCUAGCCGAAUUUCCAAAGGAACACUACCAGUCGGAGAGCGCUGAGAAGUCGACGGGGAAGUCUCCAAGCGCGAAACAAAAUGUUAACAAAAAUCAGCCAACAGAACGAACUAUCAAAAUCCAAAUCAAGUCUUCGCCGAAACUAAACCAAAACUGAAACUGAAACUCAACGAAAUCUUACCAAGAACCACACAAA